AACGCGCAAAGGCCGAACCCAUAAAUAACUAGUGGUUAUAUGAAGGUGGAUUUGCCUGUGUUCGAACACGUGUUCCUAUGGUGUUCAGCCAAGGCCCCCAAAUAACCCAUACAUGUUCCAUACAGUGAGCUACCUUCUUUGAUCAUAUAAAAGAGGUAACUUUUCUGUAAUAUUACAUACAAUGACUGUAUCAGCCCCUCUCUGAAUGUGUAUUUAAUAAUUAUCAUCCCACUACUGUAUUCUUCUCCCCCUGCUCUUGUAUUGAUUUCUAUUCUUAACUAUUUUUGUUCUUACUUAUCUACUUUGAAACUCUUGCAUCUUUAUACAAGUGAGAAAGACUGAUAAUGAUCUCUGCUGCUGAUACUGCUGUUGAAGCAGCUGCUGUAUGAAAACAGCUACAGUAUAAUCUUAUUGUAGAGAUGACAGUACAGAGAGAGAAUACACUGAGAAUCAGCAGACAAAGCAGAUCAAAGAAUAUACAGAUAGCAUACAUAGAGAAGC
rnacentral:sRNA from 2 species